rnacentral:lncRNA from 1 species
AUGUCGAUUUGUUGUAUGAGUUUUUUCCGUAAGCUUGAAUUGUCCUUGAGCCUGUGAGUUUCAGUUUCGGUAUAAUUUCAUUUUUUCUGCAAAUUCGCUUCGAUUAUACAGCGAUAGAUCAUUAGAGAACCAAAAAUCAAUUUGGAUCGUUUGUAUUUUGCAUUAGGUUUUAUUAAAGCCGUUGCUGAAUCAUUGAUGUAUAAUAACAUAGUAAACUGAUCUUAUAGAGUCGUAGGUAACUAGGUAUUGAUUCUUUGGGGAAAAUAUCUUCGAGAAUAUGAUGUAUUUAAUAAUGUUGGUAGUGAUUAUAAUACUAGGUAUGUCAAGCGUGCUGGCUCAAACUUUUUAGGGUCAUAAAGCUGAUAAUCUGGUGCCUUUUUUGUAAUAAAAUAUAGUUUUUUGCUUUUCCAAGCUGAUCUUGUCAAAACUUGCAAAAUUAAAUGGAUUUAAACCCAAAACCGCCUAUUCACAACACUAAGAUAAAUAGAAAUUCCAACAGAAAAUUUGAGAGAUUGAGAGCUUGAGAUCCGAGAGGAAGAAUCGAAUGCGAAUCAAACGUAGUCAAGCAUAAAAAAUAGAGGCCCCAAGGUUCUGCUUAUAUUUCUGUACGUUCGAGCUGCCAGAUGAUUAACGUGGAAUGUGAAUUGGUCUAUGUGAAUUUUUGGGCAAUAUUCAAUUGAAGUGUCAUCAUUGGAAUGUUUUGUAUAUGGUACUGAAAGCGUAUUUCUUCUGAAUUCCAAUUUUGUUUGGAUAACAUUUUAAAAGAAUCGAUAAUGAUUAGUCUUGCUGUGUCUCAAAUUAUAUAUUCUUUUAAGGGUUCAAAUGUGUACCCCUUAAUAGCUGGAUAGAAUAUAAUACAAUAUCUUUAUGUUAUGUGCUUUGACAAGUCAACAUUAUAUUUUUUGAUAGAACUGCUUUAUUAAUAUCAUGAUUUAAGAAAUUGCCGAUUCGAGUCGGGUGUCUCACUAGAAGCAACAUCUUUAUUUCUACGGGGUAGAGGUAAGACUGUCUAUAUCUUACCCUACUCAGGCCUCGACCUUUGUUUUGCUAUUGGUAGGAUUUACUGAGUAUGAUGAUGACGACGACGACGACGAUGAUGACGAGUAGGUUAAAUAGUUGGUUGUUAAUUUUGGUUACCACAUGUAAACAAUAAACAAUUAUACAUAUAAGUUUGUAAACAAAAUCACCAAAAGUUUGACAACAUAUGCUAAAGCCCCCGCCGCAUCGCGGCGGGGCACAUAUCUAGU